rnacentral:rRNA from 1 species
UACGUAGGGGGCUAGCGUUAUCCGGAAUUACUGGGCGUAAAGGGUGCGUAGGUGGUUUCUUAAGUCAGAGGUGAAAGGCUACGGCUCAACCGUAGUAAGCCUUUGAAACUGGGGAACUUGAGUGCAGGAGAGGAGAGUGGAAUUCCUAGUGUAGCGGUGAAAUGCGUAGAUAUUAGGAGGAACACCAGUUGCGAAGGCGGCUCUCUGGACUGUAACUGACACUGAGGCACGAAAGCGUGG